CGUCCACGUCCACCAGCGGAGUUUAUUCCUGUUGAGCCACGAUGGGUGCCCAGGUUGAGUGAGGCUGGUCUUCUUACUAUAGGUCGUCUUGCUGAGAGUGGUUUAGUACAGCUGGACAGGUCCCUACUGACGGCUCUAGUUGAUAGAUGGAGGCCUGAGACAAACACCUUCCACCUCCCUUGUGGGGAGAUGACACCGACCCUACAGGACAUUGCGAUGCUGCUGGGUCUUCCUAUCAGUGGGGAUGCCGUAGGGCCUCGUGUCGUCCCGCCUACGUGGUUGGACGAUCUAGAAGAGCGUUUUGCAAAUAUUGACAUCGCGAUUGAUGUAGAAGAGCACCCAAAAGCAACAGGCCCUGCCAAGGCAUGGAUCCUCCAGUUCCAGGUACAUACCUUGUUAUGGAACGAUUAAUGUUAGAGUUAUGCUUUUUACUA